rnacentral:tRNA from 1 species
GCCGACGUAGCUCAGUUGGUAGAGCAGAGCCCUCGUAAUGCUCAGGUCAGCGGUUCAAAUCCGCUCGUCGGCU